rnacentral:rRNA from 1 species
UACGGAGGGUGCAAGCGUUAUCCGGAUUUACUGGGUUUAAAGGGUGCGUAGGUGGGUCUGUAAGUCAGUGGUGAAAUCUUCGAGCUUAACUCGGAAACUGCCAUUGAUACUAUAGGUCUUGAAUUAUCUGGAGGUAAGCGGAAUAUGUCAUGUAGCGGUGAAAAUGCUUAGAUAUGACAUAGAACACCAAAUUGCGAAGGCAGCUUACUACGGAUUGAUUGACACUGAGGCACGAAAGCGUGGGGGAUCAAAACAGG